rnacentral:rRNA from 1 species
UACGUAGGGGGCAAGCGUUGUCCGGAAUCAUUGGGCGUAAAGAGCGCGUAGGCGGUCCGGUAAGUCCGCUGUGAAAGUCAAGGGCUCAACCCUUGAAUGCCGGUGGAUACUGUCGGGCUAGAGUGCGGAAGAGGCGAGUGGAAUUCCUGGUGUAGCGGUGAAAUGCGCAGAUAUCAGGAAGAACACCUAUGGCGAAGGCAGCACUCUGGGACGGUACUGACGCUGAGACGCGAAAGCGUGGGGAGCAAACAGG